rnacentral:rRNA from 1 species
AUUGAACGCUGGCGGCAGGCCUAACACAUGCAAGUCGAGCGAGUGGCGGACGGGUGAGUAAUGUAUGGGGACUGCCCGAUAGAGGGGGAUAACUACUGGAAACGGUGGCUAAUACCGCAUACUAUCGGAAAAGCCAUAUGGGAUUAGCGAGUAGGCGGGGUAAAGGCUCACCUAGGCGACGAUCUCUAGCUGGUCUGAGAGGAUGAUCAGCCACACUGGAACUGAGACACGGCCCAGAUGCCGACGGGGGCAGCAUUGGGGAACAUUGCACAAUGGGCGCAAUCCUGAUGCAGACAUGCCGCGUGUAGGAAGAAGGCCUUAGGGUUGUAAAGUACUUUCAGCGGGGAGGCGGUACCCGCAGAAAAAGCACCGGCUAACUCCGUGCCAGCAGCCGCGGUAAUUC